rnacentral:rRNA from 1 species
AUAAAAUUUUACCCUUUCCUAAUUUUUAAAAUAUCUAACUCACCUUAAAAAACUUUAUAACAAAAGUAUUAUAAAAGAAAAUUGAAAUACCAUGAAAAUUAAAAUAAAAAAAGGAGAAACCCGUACCUUUUGUAUUAUGGUUUAACAAGCCUUCAUGAAAAAUUUUUCAAACCCCGAAAUUCGAAGAGCUAACCUAUUCUUCUUAAAGAGAAAUAAACCACUGUUGCAAGAGUGGCAAAAAAGAACCGGUUAGAAGUGAAAUGCUUAACGGAUCGAAUAAUAGCUGGUUUUUAAAGAAAAAAGUUAAAGCUUUAACCCCAAAACAAGCGGGAGAAAAGAAAAGAGGAGACAAGUUCUCUUUUCAAAGUGGAAACAACCAAGAAUAAAGGAAAAGAAAAUAAAGAAAACACUUACCGUAGGCCUAAAAGCGGCCACCAAAAAAGAAAGCGUUACAGCUCAAAAAAUCUUUCUAACAAUCUCAUAAAAUAACUAAACCUUAUUUAAAGUAAUUAAAAAAAACAAUGUUAAAAUUAGUAAAACCAUUACCAAAGAUAAAAAUAAACUUUUAUAAAACCUCCUCUAUUCAAAUCAAGAAAAGGAAAAAGUUCUAUCAACACAGACGGUAAACCAAAAGGAUAAAAAAGGAAAAAGGAACUAGGCAAAACAGAAAAGGACUGUUUACCAAAAACAUAGCCCCUUGAAAACUAUAAGGGGUAACGCCUGCCCAGUGGAAAUUCUAAACGGCCGCGGUAUCUUGACCGUGCAAAGGUAGCAUAAUCACUUGUCUCUUAAAUGGGGACCUGUAUGAAUGGCAACACAUUUUCUAACUGUCUCCUUUCUUCCCCUUCUAAAUUUCUACUAAUGUGAAGAAGCAUUAAUAAAAAAGAAAGACGAGAAGACCCUGUCGAGCUUCAACUUCCUAAAGAACAUAAGCCCCUUUAAAAGAAAAUCCCCUCUUAAAAGAAGUUUUGGUUGGGGCAACCACGGAGUAAAAAAAACCUCCAGAAAAUUAACCCGAUUUUUCAUCAUAUAAAACAAAAAAAGAACCAGAACCCCUGGUAAACAGAAAAAGUUACCGCAGGGAUAACAGCGUAAUCUCCUUUAAGAGUUCACAUUGACAAGGAGGAUUGCGACCUCGAUGUUGGAUUGGGGCCACCUUAGGGUGCAGCAGCUCUAACGGUUGGACUGUUCGUCCAUUAAAACCCUACAUGAUCUGAGUUCAGACCGACGAGAGUCAGGUCAGCUUCUAUCUUCUUCAAUUUUCUUUCUAGUACGAAAGGACCGAAAGAACACUUCCCAUGAUUUUUAUCAAGAAGUAA